rnacentral:rRNA from 1 species
CACGUAGGGGGCGAGCGUUGUCCGGAUUUAUUGGGCGUAAAGAGCUCGUAGGCGGUUUCGUAAGUCGGAUGUGAAAACUCCAGCUCAACUUGGAGACGCCAUUCGAUACUGCGAUGACUUGAGUCCGGUAGGGGAGUGUGGAAUUCCUGGUGUAGCGGUGAAAUGCGCAGAUAUCAGGAGGAACACCGGUGGCGAAGGCGGUGAGCUGGGCAGUUGCUGACACUGGAGGCGCGACAGCGUGGGGAGCAAACAGG